rnacentral:tRNA from 3 species
GGGCGGGUAGCUCAGCGGGAGAGCAUCGGCCUUACAAGCCGAGGGUCACAGGUUCAAUCCCUGUUCCGCCUACCA